AUGAUCUGAGGAAAAGCUCCAGAAGGUUCCAAAGGAGAUAUUGCACAGGUCCAAGAACCCAUAGGUGUGACUGCUCAGAAAAAAAUACAGAAGAACAUCCAGCCUAAAAUCAGUUUGAGAAAUCCUUCUUAAAAAUACUGGGGUUGGUUUAGAGUAGAAAGCUAUUGUUGAGAACACUUCAAAAGGUCCUUCCAGACAAUUACUACAGCACCAGAAGUUCAAACCUAGAGGCUCUCUCUCCCUCAAAUACAUCAGGGCACUUGCCAUUGUUUUGAAGUUACCAGGCACCACAAGAAAUUACAGUUAUGAGCUCUGUGGAAGACAGCCGACAUUAAUCAUUAUUUCAUUUAAUGGAUUCCAGUGGAAGUAUAAAAAUAAGAUAAGCAAUAAGUAAGUAUAAUAAAUAACAACAUUGACUAAUGUUCAAUUCACCUAUGAAGCAUGACUUUUUCGGUUGUUUCGUCUUAAGCAAACUAUGAAUGUUCUUCAAAGUAACCAUGUAUCAUUAAGUCUUCUGCAGCGGGAAAUGGGUUGUUUGGGAAUGUUCAGACUCUUUUGACCUUGGCCCCAAUCACUGUAGAUAUUAUUCUUAUAGUGAUGGGAAGUGGCAGAGAAAAGCAGCCUGUGUGUGUCUGUAGUGUCUACUUUCCAGAUAUUUAAUUUGCUUUCCCUCCAAAAUAUAUCAAUAUAGGGGAGUCACUGACUUGAUGGCAUUUCUCAGCUUAAGGCAGCUACUGGGAAGGAUCAUAGCGCCAAUUUUUAGAAUAGUUUAUUGCUGGAAUUUUAUCUACUCUGCUGACUUCAUUGUUUUACACUGCUGACUUCAUUGUAUAACUGUGAUUUUGAUUUCUUUUACAUGUAACCUGCUUUGCGAGUCAUGUCAGAUAAGAAGCAAGAUAACACUUUUAAAAUAAUAACAAUACUGUCCAGAAGAACAAGAAGAUUCACCUCAGGCUUCUCAACAGACUGUAACGCUGAGCUAACCACAGGCAUCUAAGUUCUGUUAUCUGCCUCAGCCAAGGAAGGCAUUAGCUCCAGGAAGCCAGAACUCCUUCUCCUCAGUCAUCAUGAUGGUGGCGAUACCAGUGGACACACCCAGGAACAAUGGGCAGGAUUCAUGCUUAGUCAUGACUAAGUUCCAUUGAAACUGAUGGGACUUAAGUUAUUUUAUUUAAUCUAUCUAAUCUAUUUUAUUUUAAUACCACCUAAUCCAAAUUGACUCAGGGCAGUUCACAAUAAAAAUUAAAACAAUGAAAUUUAACAUAAAACUCAGUUUUAAAAAACCCACACAAUUAAAAAUCAUUUACAUACUGCUAAAAGCCAAGCUAAAGAAAAGAGUCUUGUGUCUAUGUUAUGACUCUGGAUCCAGGACCUUCCCAUCUGGGUGAGGAGGCAGACAGUUCAGGGGAUGAGUCAGGGUAGGGAGAACCUAGGACGUGGACCCUGAUGAUCCUGUGUCAUUGGGACUUCCUACUUCCCAGGAUAACUUGGGGGACCCAUACUAGCACUUCCACCAAAGCCUGAGGACACAAACAGCCCUGCCUUUGUCCUCUGACUUGAGGAUUUACCAGUAUUCGAAGAGGCCCCUUAGCAUCACUGGAACCUGUGUUUGUGAAAUCAGGCAAGACCACUUUAAGGAACAGAUCUUUCUCCUGUGAUCCUGCUUGGGUCUAACCAAGAUGCCGACUCCCUGCACACAGAACUGUCAUGGUGCUCCUGCAUCCCUUCCUUGACAGAGAUUCCAGCUUAGCCCCAGAAGAAGAUACUAAACUUGUCUCAUUUAUUUCAGAUACAUAGUCAUGACAAACUGGAUCCUGCCCCCUGUUUGAACCCUAUGGAAUAACUGGGCUCUUGCCAAUAGGCAUGAACCCUCCCUGGAGCAAGUCUCUACAAAAGAAUUACUCCCCUAAACUUCCAUCCUCCAGGGCUAGAGCAAUACGGGUGGAUUCUGCUCUGGAGUUCAGGCAAUCUGCCCAUCACACAAUUAGGCCCCAGUGUGCUAGACCUUGCAGGGGCAGCUAUUACGCCUUCUAAUGUUUGAUGUUUUCACCUGAACUCUCAAACCGUGAUUGACUUUUGUUCAAAACCACUGAGCAGUACUGAAAGGUUUUGAGUCUUGAAAGGAUUAGAGACAGCCUCAUGUAGUAUUUAUCAUUUUAGUUCCCAUUAGGUAUCUGCUUAUGAAGCCAAAAGCACUUCUCCACAAAUUCAUACCAUUAACAAAGCUUUGCAACAAACACAGCAAGGCCCCAUCUGCAGGCUUUUACAUAACAUGCAAAUGAAGAUUUAAAACAGCUGUUACUAUAUUCCCAAGAGGUCCCUUUCCAAUACAUGAAGCGUGCUUCCAAAGCAGCUUUCCAAUCAAGAUUCAAGACAGCUCCCCAUCCUGAUGACAAAUUAGGGAGAAUGUUUUCAGGAUGGCUAGUUAUACUGUUCGGGGCUCUUCAUUCAAUAAAUAAUUUCAUGCAUGUAUAACAACAGCUACUGAGUGAAUGAUGUUGCAACAUUCUAAAAUAAUGUAAAUAAUCAUAACUUCUGAUCAAAAUACUAUCUCUACUUUUACCAGCUUUCCAUCAUUGCAUUAGAAUUAAAAAUCAGUUCCACACAAAAUAAAAAUCUCAGAUCUACUUAUAUAUCUGUAAACAGAAACUCUAUCCAGACACUAUGUUGUAUGAGUGUACAGAUGUCUGUACCCAGGUACAUGUUUUUGUGUGAACGACAGUACCUGCAUUCAUUUUAAAGGGUAUCUGGUUACAGGCUCGUCAAAGGCAUAGUGCAGAUAGGAAGUGUACUGCUGUACCUGCGUUCAACCCAACAUGUGAAUAACUGUACCUGUGUGCCUCCCUAGUAAUGCAUAAUAGUUUUGAGUUUAAGUGGAAGACUAGGGUUAAUACCAAAGUUCUGCAACUUGGGUUUUCCCGUCAGGAACUUCUCAGGCUAGGACUUGACCAGGCCUGGACGGCAGUUAAACAGCAUACUAUGGACAUGGAACUUCAGGAGGAAAUAGCUUGAUUAAAGAAUGGGAAUUUUCUAGGUAAUCAAUUGUUUAGAUUUAAACCAGCAGAAUAUCUGGACAACAUAACUGUCCCCAAAUUUAGGCGUUCUUUCACUCUUGCCCACCUUAAUGCUUUACCAUCAGUGGUCAGGGAUGGCAGAUACAGGGGAAUUCCGCUUAAUUUAAGGAUAUGCCCAUGUGGAAUUGGUGCUAUAGAAAAUACCUCUCACACAAUUUUGUAUUGCGAACUUUACAGAGAUUAUCGUUUAAAACUGAUUGCUCCCCUGCUGGUAAAGUUUCCGGGGCACUCUGAUGAAUCUUACUUAGAGUUUUUAUUGUUUAAUUGUAGUAAGGAGAACUCUUAUAAUGUGGCAAGGUUUUACCAUAUUGUAUGUAAAAUUCGUUCGGGUUUUAUGUAAUGUCAAUGUUUGUUUUUUCUUUCUUGACUGAUCUAUGAUCGUAAUAAAGUUCUAUCUACUGUA